rnacentral:rRNA from 1 species
GACGAACGCUGGCGGCGUGCCUAAUACAUGCAAGUAGAACGCUGAAGGAGGAGCUUGCUUCUCCGGAUGAGUUGCGAACGGGUGAGUAACGCGUAGGUAACCUGCCUGGUAGCGGGGGAUAACUAUUGGAAACGAUAGCUAAUACCGCAUAAGAGUAGAUGUCGCAUGACAUUUGCUUAAAAGGUGCAACUGCACCACUACCAGAUGGACCUGCGUUGUAUUAGCUAGUUGGUGAGGUAACGGCUCACCAAGGCAACGAUACAUAGCCGACCUGAGAGGGUGAUCGGCCACACUGGGACUGAGACACGGCCCAGACUCCUACGGGAGGCAGCAGUAGGGAAUCUUCGGCAAUGGACGGAAGGCUGACCGAGCAACGCCACGUGAGUGAAGAAGGUUUUCGGAUCGUAAAGCUCUGUUGUAAGAGAAGAACGAGGGUGAGAGUGGAAAGUUCACACUGUGACGGUAUCUUAACAGAAAGGGACGGCUAACUACGUG